rnacentral:rRNA from 1 species
UACGUAGGGUGCGAGCGUUGUCCGGAAUUAUUGGGCGUAAAGGGCUCGUAGGCGGUUUGUCGCGUCGGGAGUGAAAUCCACUGGCUUAACUGGUGGCUUGCUUUCGAUACGGGCAGACUGGAGGUAUGCAGGGGAGAACGGAAUUCCUGGUGUAGCGGUGAAAUGCGCAGAUAUCAGGAGGAACACCGGUGGCGAAGGCGGCAUCCUGGACCGACAUUGACGCUGAGGAGCGAAAGCUAGGGGAGCAAACGGG